rnacentral:lncRNA from 1 species
CAGCCACUCAACUCUGCCUACGCAACAGCCAUAAAAGUGUCAAGGAACAAUCUUAAUUUCAAAAGUAAGCAGAGCUGAGAAGAAAGUGACCCAGCUGCACUGAGGGAUCCCCCUGAGGACUGGAGUGGCCUGCGCCAGACCCCAGGGCAGAAAACACUUGCACUGCACAUUAAACUGCAUAAUGAAUGAAGAGACCUGGGGAAGAGGCCACUCUAUAAACAGCAGCCGGGAUGGGCCCCGCCUGCUACCAGGACCCUCCUGGCCCCAGCACGGGACUCCUGCACAGAACUCUCUCCGCUCCUCCUUUGACUCGUGCGGAGAACUCCAUCCGCUCCCCUCUUGACUCCUGCAGGUAACUCCGUCCACUCCUCCCUCAACUCCUGCGGGUAACUCCGUCCACUCCUCCCUCAACUCCUGCGGGUAACUCCGUCCACUCCUCCCUCAACUCCUGCGGGUAACUCCGUCCACUCCUCCCUCGACUCCUGCAGGUAACUCCGUCCGCUCCUCCCUCAGCUCCUGCGGGUAAAUCCAUCCACUCCUCCCUCGACUCCUGUGGGUAACUCCGUCCACUCCUCCCUCAACUCCUGCAGGUAACUCCGUCCGCUCCUCCCUCGACUCCUGCAGAGAACUCUGUCCACUCCUCCCUCGACUCCUGCAGGUAACUCCAUCCGCUUCUCCCUCGACUGCUGCGGGUAACUCCGUCCACUCCUCCCUCAACUCCUUCAGGUAACUCUGUCCGCUCCUCCCUCGACUCCUGCGGGUAACUCCGUCCACUCCUCCCUCAACUCCUUCAGGUAACUCUGUCCGCUCCUCCCUCGACUCCUGCGGGUAACUCCGUCCACUCCUCCCUCGACUCCUGCAGGUAACUCCAUCCGCUCCUCCCUCAACUCCUGUGGGUAACUCUGUCCACUCCCCCCUUGACUCCUGCGGGUAACUCCGUCUGCUCCUCCCUCAACUCCUGCGGAGAACUCUCUCUGCUCCUCCCUUUUGGCUGUUGGGUUGCCCACCACAAAUAGCCGGCACCUUCCGCCCACCUGGCCACAGGCCCUUCCUCUGGGACUGGGCCUAGGACCCCAGCCUCGAGCUCCCACGAGUCCUCCUGGACCCUGGAGAGCACACCUGGGAACAAACACAACCCCAGAGCUCAGGGACGACCUCCGGUGGCCCUAGCCAUCCCUUCCAGUGCCCUGGCCCUGCAGGGGCCCCCAAGUGGGCUGCCCUGCCCUGCUCCCACCAAGCACUAGAGCCUGGUGAGGGUGAGGGUGGCCUCAAGAGACCGACUCUGACCUUGCUGGCUCACCCUGAGGAAGCCACCAGCGAGCUGCCCUAUGCAAGGGCCCACACGGCAAAGUGCAAGAACACACCCCCAC